rnacentral:miRNA from 1 species
UUGGCCAAAAAGUUUAUUUGGGUUUUCCUGUAACAUGUUAUGGAAAAACCCAAACAAAUUUUUGGCCAA